UAGGGAAUAUUGCGCAAUGGACGAAAGUCUGACGCAGCGACGCCGCGUGAGCGAUGAAAGCCGUAAGGUUGUAAAGCUCUGUCAAGAGGGAAGAAACCAUUGAGGUCGAACAGGCCUCUUUGCUGACGGUACCUCUGAAGGAAGCACCGGCUAACUCCGUGCCAGCAGCCGCGGUAAUACGGAGGGUGCGAGCGUUAAUCGGAAUCACUGGGCGUAAAGCGCACGUAGGCGGUGUCGUAAGUCGGAUGUGAAAGCCCUCGGCUCAACCGGGGAACUGCAUUCGAUACUGCGAUGCUUGAGUGCCGGAGAGGGUGGCGGAAUUCCAGGUGUAGGAGUGAAAUCCGUAGAUAUCUGGAGGAACACCAGUGGCGAAGGCGGCCACCUGGCCGGCAACUGACGCUGAGGUGCGAAAGCGUGGGGAUCAAACA
rnacentral:rRNA from 1 species